AACAAGGAUUCCCCUAGUAACUGCGAGUGAAGCGGGAAAAGCUCAAAUUUAAAAUCUGGCGGUCUUUGGCCGUCCGAGUUGUAAUCUAGAGAAGUAAUGCCCGUGCUUGGCCGUGUAUAAGUCUCCUGGAAUGGGGGCGUCAUAGAGGGUGAGAAUCCCGUCUUUGACACGGACUACCAGUGCAUUGUGGUAUGCUCUCAAAGAGUCGAGUUGUUUGGGAAUGCAGCUCAAAAUGGGUGGUAAAUUCCAUCUAAAGCUAAAUAUUGGCGAGAGACCGAUAGCGAACAAGUACCGUGAGGGAAAGAUGAAAAGAACUUUGGAAAGAGAGUUAAGCAGUACGUGAAAUUGCUGAAAGGGAAACGCUUGAAGUCAGUCGCGUUGGCCAGGGAUCAGCCUUGCUUUUGCAUGGUGUACUUUCUGGUUGACGGGUCAGCAUCAAUUUUGACCGCUGGAAAAGGGCCUGGGGAAUGUGGCAGCUUCGGCUGUGUUAUAGCCCCUGGUCGCAUACAGUGGUUGGGAUUGAGGAACUCAGCACACCGCAAGGCCGGGUUU
rnacentral:rRNA from 1 species